ACCAAUUAUGCUAAUAAAUUGGCACGUUAGCACGUUAUUGUAAUAUCCCAUAGUACAUACAUGUUAUUAAAACUUGAACUAAUGCAUUGUGAGUCUUAUAAAUUGCUUACAUACCUCACCGAUUUCCCACUGUCUGGAAAACGCUCGGUUUAGUUCCUGUCUCCGCCUCCCAAAAUGUCUAGUGUAAUCGGAUUGGUCAGAUGACUACUCAACUGUUAUUGGUCAGCUGGGUUCGGCGUGUGUUUGAAAGGUUACGCCCCUGACUACACGUGGGUUGUCACAGAUUCUGACUGAGAGUCACAGCCUCAGAGGCAUCGUAAACAAGCGUUAUAUUUCUCUAUAAACGAUGGUGUCUGUACUGCCUUACCACUUCGAGCUCGAUCCAGAGAGUUCAGAAGGCCGUUACGAUAUAAACGAUCUCCGUCAAUGAAUGCGAUUGGAUUUAACUUUUUUAGGUGUCCUUAGCUCUGCCAGAAUGCUAAACGAAGACGAAAAUGUGUUGCAAAGACAUCCAAAAGGUUUUAAGGAGAAUGCAACAGGUUCCAGGGCCUCUUACCUGCGUGAUUCAUCAUCCAGGUUUUGCACAAAUUGUCUAAAUCCCUACACACAGAACAUUUAUUGUACCGACUAUAAGCCUUUGAGGUGCAGGACUAGAAUAUGCUUGGAGCUUCCUGAUCGGAAUUUUGGCUUUCGACGACCCCUGCACUGAAGAUGGCAUGCAAUCACGUCCUCCUUUGAAGGUCUCUCAAACUGUGAUGCCAGGUCCAUUGGAAUCGGGGUUUCCUUCAGCUUAUCU